CACGUAGGGGGCGAGCGUUGUCCGGAUUUAUUGGGCGUAAAGAGCUCGUAGGCGGUUCGGCAAGUCGGGUGUGAAAUUUCGAGGCUCAACCUCGAAACGCCACUCGAUACUGCUGUGACUGGAGUCCGGUAGAGGAGUGCGGAAUUCCUGGUGUAGCGGUGAAAUGCGCAGAUAUCAGGAGGAACACCAAUGGCGAAGGCAGCACUCUGGGACGUGACUGACGCUGAGACGCGAAAGCGUGGGGAGCAAACAGG
rnacentral:rRNA from 1 species